rnacentral:tRNA from 1 species
GGAUGCUUAGCUCAGCGGGAGAGCAUCGCCCUUACAAGGCGGGGGUCGUAGGUUCGAAACCUACAGCAUCCACCA